UUCAAAAGCUAUUGGGUGUGACUGAGCAGCCGGAUCCAACACUAUUGGAUCUUGUCAUGUAGACCCUAAGCGAUUGGGUUUUGUUGGGCAGCAGAUUCCAAUGUUGUUGAAUCCUGCCAAGCUAGACUUAAUAACACUUUUUGACU
rfam:Populus trichocarpa scaffold_18_contig_22, whole genome shotgun sequence.